rnacentral:rRNA from 1 species
GAUGAACGCUGGCGGCGUGCCUAAUACAUGCAAGUCGAGCGAACAGACGAGGAGCUUGCUCCUCUGACGUUAGCGGCGGACGGGUGAGUAACACGUGGAUAACCUACCUAUAAGACUGGGAUAACUUCGGGAAACCGGAGCUAAUACCGGAUAAUAUAUUGAACCGCAUGGUUCAAUAGUGAAAGACGGUUUUGCUGUCACUUAUAGAUGGAUCCGCGCCGCAUUAGCUAGUUGGUAAGGUAACGGCUUACCAAGGCAACGAUGCGUAGCCGACCUGAGAGGGUGAUCGGCCACACUGGAACUGAGACACGGUCCAGACUCCUACGGUAGGACGCAGUAGGGAAUCUUCCGCAAUGGGCGAAAGCCUGACGGAGCAACGCCGCGUGAGUGAUGAAGGUCUUCGGAUCGUAAAACUCUGUUAGUAGGGAAGAACAAAUGUGUAAGUAACUAUGCACGUCUUGACGGUACCUAAUCAGAAAGCCACGGCUAACUACGUG